CUGCCAACUCUGGUGGGAGUGUCAAGUUGUGGCAAGAGGGAUUUCCUAUUCCUCAUGUGACCUGCUGGACACCAGCUUUCCUAGUCAACCGCCGACGUUGCUGAGGAGGUGGCAGGAUCAAAGCCCUUGUUAAUGAAGAUAUCACAAGUCUGGGGAGGCUCUGGCAUUUCUGUACGAUGCUGCUCCCUGAUUGUGACUCAGGACUCAGGUUCUGAAGGAAGCAAAGCAAGCUAGAGGAAAACUGGAUGUCCUGUAUCCAAAGCUCCAUAGCACAGCUGCUCUUCAUCUCUGAUC